rnacentral:lncRNA from 1 species
GUUGCAUUUUACAGUUAAAUCUUAUCCAGAAGAUAUUAACAAUUCAAACUGUACAAAAAACUUUAAGAAGAAAGAAAUGUUGCAUCCCUGAAUAUGACUGAUCUUCAUAAAGGAAAGUCAGAGAACUUGGAGGACCAAAGGGCAGUUGGACAAGCACUGCGUGGCCAUAUUGACGAAAGGAAUGAUGAGGGAUGGUCACUGGGGAAAUGAGCACA